rnacentral:rRNA from 1 species
GACGAACGCUGGCGGCGUGCCUAACACAUGCAAGUCGAACGGAGCACUUCGGUGCUUAGUGGCGAACGGGUGAGUAACGCGUGAAGAACCUGCCUUUCAGUGGGGGACAACAGUUGGAAACGACUGCUAAUACCGCAUAAUGUUAUUUGAGGGCAUCCUCGGAUAACCAAAGAUUUAUUGCUGAAAGAUGGCUUCGCGUCUGAUUAGCUAGUUGGUGAGGUAACGGCUCACCAAGGCGACGAUCAGUAGCCGGUCUGAGAGGAUGAACGGCCACAUUGGGACUGAGAUACGGCCCAGACUCCUACGGGAGGCAGCAGUGGGGGAAUAUUGGGCAAUGGGCGAAAGCCUGACCCAGCAACGCCGCGUGAAGGAAGAAGGCCCUCGGGUUGUAAACUCUUUUACCAGGGACGAAUAAUGACGGUACCUGGAGAAAAAGCAACGGCUAACUACGUG